GAUGAACGCUGGCGGCGUGCUUAAUACAUGCAAGUCGAACGAAGCACCUUGGACAGAAUCCUUCGGGAGGAAGACCAUUGUGACUGAGUGGCGGACGGGUGAGUAACGCGUGGGUAACCUGCCUUGUACAGGGGGAUAACAGUUGGAAACGACUGCUAAUACCGCAUAAGCGCACAGUACCGCAUGGUACGGUGUGAAAAACUCCGGUGGUACAAGAUGGACCCGCGUCUGAUUAGCUAGUUGGUGAGGUAACGGCCCACCAAGGCGACGAUCAGUAGCCGACUUGAGAGAGUGAUCGGCCACAUUGGGACUGAGACACGGCCCAAACUCCUACGGGAGGCAGCAGUAGGGAAUAUUGCACAAUGGGGGAAACCCUGAUGCAGCGACGCCGCGUGAAGGAAGAAGUAUUUCGGUAUGUAAACUUCUAUCAGCAAGGAAGAAAAUGACGGUACUUGACUAAGAAG
rnacentral:rRNA from 1 species